UCAACAACAACAUCGACAACAACAAACAUCAGGGAUGGGCCACUCUCUGUUUCUCCUGUUCUACUCAGGGCUGUCCAUCCUCCCCUCAUGCCUCUCUCAUCAGUUCCACUUUGUGAAAAUCAAUAAAACCUGGACUGAAGCUCAGAGUUACUGCAGACAGAACCACACUGACCUGGCCUCCAUAGACGACAUGGCAGAUAUGAACAGGCUCCAAAAGACAGUACAGGCUGAGUUAUUAACUGUACCAGCCUGGAUAGGGUUGUAUAACACCAGCUGGAGGUGGUCUCUGGAAGACACAGAAUUAGGGACGGAGAGGUUUUGGGACAAAAACCAACCAGAUAAUGGAAACAACAAUGAGUCCUGUGUGUGGAUGCGAAAUGGGCUUUGGCAUGAUGCGAACUGUGGUGAACCACAUCAUUUUGUCU